GUGAGAGUUGGAUGCAACAAUUCCUUCUUUACUUUUAUCCCUCAACAAACAUGGUUCCAAAACGCUUCUUUCUGCUGUGGAGAACUCACUGAGCUGUAGUUUCUCUUUCAGAUACAGAUGAAGAUUCUCAUCAACACUUUCAGAAUUGCUGCUAUCUUCAUAAUGUCUGCGAUGAGUGCCUUCUCCAUUUAAUUCACCUUUUGGUGCGGCCAUUUUUCUGAUUGCUCUCCUCUUAUGGGGUGGUUCUACAACUGCCGUGUCUUUGAGACAGUUCGUUUUGGCUGCCUUCAUUCCUUUCUUUGUGUUAAUGGAACGUUUUGCUCUGUGAAAGGAUUGGCUUUCCAUUUUUGUACUUUUCUCUGUCUUCGACAUACGUCGCCUCAUUGAUGCAAAGCUGUUUGAUGGAGAUAAAUCAGAGUGGCGGUGGCCAUGAAUUGAACAAUAAUUAUAUGUGCACACUUUCAUGGCUGAAAUUCCUUCAGAUUCACCUCCUCCUGAUUGAGGCUCAGGAAACUUGGAAUCCUUAAGAACUGAAGAACUCGUAGCUUUAUGCGUGCUUGAGUCGAGCAUUUGAGAGCAUUUGUUCACAUCACAACAGCUCGUUGCUUUCAAAAGAUUAGUGGACAUAUCUGCAUCAUUAGAUAAAACAAUGGAAGGCCGAUUUCCACCCUUGAUUGAUCUGGACUUGUUCUGUUUCCUCUUCAGGUCAGAUCCUCCAGAAGACUUCCUCAUCAAAGUUCUUGAUGAUCCCUGAAAACUCUCCUCCUUUGCAUCAGAAGUGGUGGAACAAAAACAUGGCAUGCAUGAUUUUUCCCAGCACAAAUUCCUGAUUUGGCCCAUCUGUUAUACAAGAAAAUACCAUGGAUUGCCU
rnacentral:misc_RNA from 1 species